AGCUCCAAGAGUGUAUAUUAAAGUUGUUGCGGUUAAAAAGCUCGUAGUUGGACUUAAGGUGAAGGUGCGGAGUCCCUGGUGGCAUUGCUGCUGGGAUAAAGGCUUUGUUACUUUCUCCUAUUUCUAGGGACGCAAAACACCGGGGCAACUUGGUGGUCUCUCAGGAUUUACUUUGAAAAAAUUAGGGUGUUAAAAGCAGGCGAAUCGCCUUGAAUACAUAAGCAUGGGAUAAUGAAAGAUGACCUUUUGGUCUAUACUUUAUUGGUUUCUAAGGCCGAGGUAAUGAUUAAUAGGGACAGUUGGGGUCGCUUGUAUUCAGUGGUCAGAGGUGAAAUUCUAGGACCCACUGAGGACAAACAAAUGCGAAGGCAUUCGACAAGGAUGUUUUCA
rnacentral:rRNA from 1 species